AGUCCCUGGGGCCCAAAUCGUUUACCGUGAAAAAAUUAGAGUGUUCAAAGCAGGCAGAUCCAAUUUUCUGCCACCGAAUACAUUAGCAUGGGACAAUGGAAUAGGACCCUGUCCUCCUAUUUUCAGUUGGUUUUGGCAGCGCGAGGACUAGGGUAAUGAUUAAUAGGGAUAGUUGGGGGCAUUAAUAUUUAAUUGUCAGAGGUGAAAUUCUUGGAUUUAUGAAAGAUUAACUUCUGCGAAAGCAUCUGCCAAGGAUGUUUUCAUUAAUCAAGAACGAAAGUCAGGGGAUCGAAGACGAUCAGAUACCGUCGUAGUCUUAACCAUAAACGAUGCCGACCAGCGAUUAGGAGACGUUGAAUACAAAACACCACCAUCGGCGCGGUCGUCCUUGGCGUGUCUCGGCUUCACGGCCGGGGCGCGCGAGGGCGGUUUAGCCCGGUGGCACCGGUGAAUGACUCCCCUAGCAGCUUGUGAGAAA
rnacentral:rRNA from 1 species